UGGUCAAGUUCAAUAUAUAUAGUCCAAUCUAUUGAAGUACUAGUACACCAGCUUACUUAGAGCUGAUGUAGGUGAGUAGUUCAAUAUAUUGGACUAUUUAUAUUAAAUUUGACUGA
rfam:Arabis alpina cultivar Pajares chromosome 8, whole genome shotgun sequence.